ACGGGAGGCAGCAGUGAGGAAUAUUGGUCAAUGGAGGCAACUCUGAACCAGCCAUCUCGCGUGAAGGAAUACGGCCCUAUGGGUCUUAAACUUCUUUUAUAGGGGGAUAAAGUGAGAUACGCGUAUCUUUUUGUAGGUACCCUAUGAAUAAGCAUCGGCUAACUCCGUGCCAGCAGCCGCGGUAAUACGGAGGAUGCGAGCGUUAUCCGGAUUUAUUGGGUUUAAAGGGUGCGUAGGCUGUGCAUCAAGUCAGCGGUGAAAGCCCGGGGCCUAACUCCGGAACUGCCGUUGAUACUGAUGUGCUGGAAUACGGAUGCCGUGGGAGGAAUGAGUAGUGUAGCGGUGAAAUGCAUAGAUAUUACUCAGAACACCGAUUGCGAAGGCAUCUCACGAAUCCGUUAUUGACGCUGAGGCACGAAAGCGUGGGGAUCAAACAGGAUUAGAUACCCUGGUA
rnacentral:rRNA from 1 species